AGAGUUUGAUCAUGGCUCAGAUUGAACGCUGGCGGCAGGCCUAACACAUGCAAGUCGAACGGUAACAGGAAGAAGCUUGCUUCUUUGCUGACGAGUGGCGGACGGGUGAGUAAUGUCUGGGAAACUGCCUGAUGGAGGGGGAUAACUACUGGAGACGGUAGCUAAUACCGCAUAAUGUCGCAAGACCAAAGAGGGGGACCUUCGGGCCUCUUGCCAUCGGAUGUGCCCAGAUGGGAUUAGCUUGUUGGUGGGGUAACGGCUCACCAAGGCGACGAUCCCUAGCUGGUCUGAGAGGAUGACCAGCCACACUGGAACUGAGACACGGUCCAGACUCCUACGGGAGGCAGCAGUGGGGAAUAUUGCACAAUGGGCGCAAGCCUGAUGCAGCCAUGCCGCGUGUAUGAAGAAGGCCUUCGGGUUGUAAAGUACUUUCAGCGGGGAGGAAGGGAGUAAAGUUAAUACCUUUGCUCAUUGACGUUACCCGCAGAAGAAGCACCGGCUAACUCCGUGCCAGCAGCCGCGGUAAUACGGAGGGUGCAAGCGUUAAUCGGAAUUACUGGGCGUAAAGCGCACGCAGGCGGUUUGUUAAGUCAGAUGUGAAAUCCCCGGGCUCAACCUGGGAACUGCAUCUGAUACUGGCAAGCUUGAGUCUCGUAGAGGGGGGUAGAAUUCCAGGUGUAGCGGUGAAAUGCGUAGAGAUCUGGAGGAAUACCGGUGGCGAAGGCGGCCCCCUGGACGAAGACUGACGCUCAGGUGCGAAAGCGUGGGGAGCAAACAGGAUUAGAUACCCUGGUAGUCCACGCCGUAAACGAUGUCGACUUGGAGGUUGUGCCCUUGAGGCGUGGCUUCCGGAGCUAACGCGUUAAGUCGACCGCCUGGGGAGUACGGCCGCAAGGUUAAAACUCAAAUGAAUUGACGGGGGCCCGCACAAGCGGUGGAGCAUGUGGUUUAAUUCGAUGCAACGCGAAGAACCUUACCUGGUCUUGACAUCCACGGAAGUUUUCAGAGAUGAGAAUGUGCCUUCGGGAACCGUGAGACAGGUGCUGCAUGGCUGUCGUCAGCUCGUGUUGUGAAAUGUUGGGUUAAGUCCCGCAACGAGCGCAACCCUUAUCCUUUGUUGCCAGCGGUCCGGCCGGGAACUCAAAGGAGACUGCCAGUGAUAAACUGGAGGAAGUGGGGAUGACGUCAAGUCAUCAUGGCCCUUACGACCAGGGCAACACACGUGCUACAAUGGCGCAUACAAAGAGAAGCGACCUCGCGAGAGCAAGCGGACCUCAUAAAGUGCGUCGUAGUCCGGAUUGGAGUCUGCAACUCGACUCCAUGAAGUCGGAAUCGCUAGUAAUCGUGGAUCAGAAUGCCACGGUGAAUACGUUCCCGGGCCUUGUACACACCGCCCGUCACACCAUGGGAGUGGGUUGCAAAAGAAGUAGGUAGCUUAACCUUCGGGAGGGCGCUUACCACUUUGUGAUUCAUGACUGGGGUGAAGUCGUAACAAGGUAACCGUAGGGGAACCUGCGGUUGGAUCACCU
rnacentral:rRNA from 1 species